rnacentral:rRNA from 1 species
UACAGAGGUCUCAAGCGUUGUUCGGAUUCAUUGGGCGUAAAGGGUGCGUAGGUGGCGCGGUAAGUCGGGUGUGAAAUUUCGGAGCUUAACUCCGAAACUGCAUUCGAUACUGCCGUGCUUGAGGACUGGAGAGGAGACUGGAAUUUACGGUGUAGCAGUGAAAUGCGUAGAGAUCGUAAGGAAGACCAGUGGCGAAGGCGGGUCUCUGGACAGUUCCUGACACUGAGGCACGAA